CGCAACACCAUGUUUACGCACACCUCUGACGAUGACUUAUUGAUCCGUUGUGCACACCUGGGUAGCAAGGACGAGGCUAUAAAACACACAUCAUAUCCUAGUGUCCUGGCUAUGCCAAGGGUUAGGCUGUGAGAUGACACCUCUGACACUCAUCUGCUUAACACUGUACACUUGGAUAGUGUCACCUGGCUCCCGGCUCAGCCUGGCAUUAAGUCAGCAUGAGCAUGAAACAGAGAUGUGGCACGCACUCUCAAAUAGCUUGUAUAAUAAAGUGACCAUUGAGGGGACGAAGAAGCUGGCGUUCACCUUUCAAAGCAAGGAGAAUGUCCAGGUGGACUCUGCAUUCCUGUCCUGCGUAACUUUGAGAUGCUUCACGUUGCUGGAGAACCCCUCACCUGAGGCCUGGAUCGGGCCUGAACAUCAACAGCACCACUUGUCAGCAAUAAUUUGUCCAUCCAAUCGGUCAAGAAAAACAACACCAAAAGGACCAAGUGCAAUCACUGUUGUUUUAUUUGCUAUGGAGUCAAGCGCAGUGAACAGACACCCCAAUGGGAUCAUCUAUAGGCUUGGGAAAGUACUUAAAUCAUCUUUUCUGCUGUUGCUUGCAAUCAUUGUAAUUCGAUUAAUAUUAAUCGUCUCAGAUUUCCGAUACAGCAACAACUCUUUUGUUGUGGGGCUUUUGACUCUCACGUUACACUGUUUACCUCCACCAGCCCUCCGACCCCCGGGAUGGUCCUUUGUGCUGCGUCACACAGCGUUCGGGAUCACCUUUGUCCUCUAUAUCACCUGUGGCCUGGGGAAACCAAUCCAUGUUUUGAUUGCCUUCAGGGCCACUUGGACGGUUUUCCAAUGGUUGUGUCACUCACAUCAGCAGCAAGCAUGUAUUUUGCCACUAUCUGCUGCACAGUUGAUGGUUUGUGUUGUGUGGUUCUUUGUCACCCAAAUGUCACCAAACAGGAAUGGAAGGCAGUUGUGUUGUGAAAACAUAAUACGUGAAAGGGAUGUCCAGUUUGCUCAUGUCAUUUACUGGGCCACAUCGUAUUUUUUAUGUUUUUCAUUUACCCUUUUACUGCGAUCAAUACAGGCUAAAUUGAAUGUAUUUAGCGCUCCUAUGCACAUGCGUUUGCUAGCCUGUCUACAAUAUGCCAGGGUAAUAACAAAGUAUAUCAUUGUUAUAAAACUCAACAUGCCCCUGUGAACCUUAUUUGUAUAUGGUAUUAUGAUGCUACGAUGAUAAAGAUCCUGAAACAUUAAAUAUAUUAAAAUGAAAAAAGAGUUGUAGGGAGACAACACUAAUCGUUUCUUAAAAUGUGCUAGGCUAAUGCUUAAUAGAUGGAUACAAUUCUUAAUUCAUAUUUUAGAUUAUUACGACAGAUGGAACCGGGGUUUAAGUUAAGGCUCAGUUGAUAACUUUGUUAUUUUCAACGUGGACCCUAUUUUCCAAUAGUUAGAGAUUGGGCCAGUAUUGAGCGAGCAUGGUAACCCUUAAGAACAAUAGCACUCAAUUAAUCAAUAAAUAUUUUCAAGCCAGAGCCUAAGUCUAAAGAGCACAUAUAUUGUAAAAUCCAAAGCAAUGAUUCAAGUGCCCGGAUCAAAAAAACGUAUAAUGUGUAUCAUUUCAAAUAGCUCUACAGUUAACCAAAAAACAUCCAAACAUUGACAUGAUACAUAUUUUUGUCUUCUUAAAAAAUAUUGAUUAGAGAAACAGGAAGAUUUCUAGAUGUUACCUUGAAGAAUUAGUUAGUUGGUG
ensembl:lncRNA